AUUGAACGCUGGCGGCAUGCUUUACACAUGCAAGUCGAACGGUAACAGGCCGCAAGGUGCUGACGAGUGGCGAACGGGUGAGUAAUGCAUCGGAACGUGCCCAGCCGUGGGGGAUAACUACUCGAAAGAGUAGCUAAUACCGCAUACGAUCUAUGGAUGAAAGCGGGGGACCGUAAGGCCUCGCGCGAUUGGAGCGGCCGAUGUCAGAUUAGGUAGUUGGUGGGGUAAAGGCUCACCAAGCCAACGAUCUGUAGCUGGUCUGAGAGGACGACCAGCCACACUGGGACUGGGACACGGCCCAGACUCCUACGGGAGGCAGCAGUGGGGAAUUUUGGACAAUGGGCGCAAGCCUGAUCCAGCAAUGCCGCGUGCAGGAAGAAGGCCUUCGGGUUGUAAACUGCUUUUGUACGGAACGAAACGGCUCUGGUUAAUACCCGGGGCUAAUGACGGUACCGUAAGAAUAAGCACCGGCUAACUACGUG
rnacentral:rRNA from 1 species